rnacentral:rRNA from 1 species
CAGUCGCCACGGUAAUACGGAGGGCGCGAGCGUUACCCGGAUUUACUGGGCGUAAAGGGCGUGUAGGCGGCCUGGGGCGUCCCAUGUGAAAGGCCACGGCUCAACCGUGGAGGAGCGUGGGAUACGCUCAGGCUAGAGGGUGGGAGAGGGUGGUGGAAUUCCCGGAGUAGCGGUGAAAUGCGCAGAUACCGGGAGGAACGCCGAUGGCGAAGGCAGCCACCUGGUCCACUUCUGACGCUGAGGCGCGAAAGCGUGGGGAGCAAACCGGAUUAGAUACCCCCGUAGUCCCUGUCUCUUAUAC